rnacentral:tRNA from 1 species
CAACCGGUAGUCUAGCCCGGUCAAGGAUGCGGGCCUCUCGAGCCCGUGACCCGGGUUCAAAUCCCGGCCGGGGCACCA